rnacentral:rRNA from 1 species
UACGGGGGGAGCAAGCGUUGUUCGGAUUUACUGGGCGUAAAGGGCGCGUAGGCGGUCAGCACAAGUCAGUUGUGAAGUCUCCGGGCUUAACUCGGAAAGGUCAACUGAUACUGUGCGACUAGAGUGCAGAAGGGGCAACUGGAAUUCUCGGUGUAGCGGUGAAAUGCGUAGAUAUCGAGAGGAACACCGAUGGCGAAGGCAGGUCUCUGGGCUGACACUGACGCUCAUGCACGAAAGCGUGGGGAGCAAACAGG